rnacentral:rRNA from 1 species
UACCCGCAGCACAAGUGGUGGUCAUUAUUAUUGGGCCUAAAGCGUCCGUAGCUGGCCUGUUAGAUGCCUGGGUAAAUCGAUGCGCUCAACGUAUCGAACUCCGGGUAGACCGGCAGGCUUGGGACCGGGAGAGAUGUGAGCUACUCGAGGGGUAGGGGUAAAAUCCUGUAAUCCUUCGGGGAGGACCAGUGGCGAAGGCGCUACACUAGAACGGCUCUGACAGUGAGGGACGAAGCCCUGGGGCGCAAACCGG